rfam:Capsella rubella cultivar Monte Gargano unplaced genomic scaffold scaffold_8, whole genome shotgun sequence.
AAAGCAAUGAUGAGACGGAGAGUGUGAGAAGAGCAGUGGGUUAUACCGUGAGCUCUCCUAAUUAAACGACUUCUCCUUGUGUU